rnacentral:rRNA from 1 species
GACGAACGCUGGCGGCGUGCUUAACACAUGCAAGUCGAACGGAAAGGCCCUGCUUUUGUGGGGUGCUCGAGUGGCGAACGGGUGAGUAACACGUGAGUAACCUGCCCUUGACUUUGGGAUAACUUCAGGAAACUGGGGCUAAUACCGGAUAGGAGCUCCUGCUGCAUGGUGGGGGUUGGAAAGUUUCGGCGGUUGGGGAUGGACUCGCGGCUUAUCAGCUUGUUGGUGGGGUAGUGGCUUACCAAGGCUUUGACGGGUAGCCGGCCUGAGAGGGUGACCGGCAACAUUGGGACUGAAAUCCGGCCCAAACCCCUGGGGGGGGCAGGAGUGGGGAAUAUUGCCAAAGGGGGGGAAGCCUGAUGCAGCAACGCCGCGGGGGGGAUGAGGCCCUUGGGGUUGUAAACCGCUUUCCCCUGUGACGAGGCGGGGGUGGCGGUAAUGGGAAAAGAAGCACCGGCUAACUACGU